rnacentral:rRNA from 1 species
GCAAGUCGAGCGCGAAAACACCUUCGGGUGUGAGUAGAGCGGCGGACGGGUGAGUAACGCGUAGGAAUCUACCCAGUAGUGGGGGACAACAGUCGGAAACGGCUGCUAAUACCGCAUACGCCCUAAGGGGGAAAGCGGGGGCCAUUAGGCCUCGCGCUAUUGGAUGAGCCUGCGUCGGAUUAGCUAGUUGGUGGGGUAAAGGCCCACCAAGGCGACGAUCGGUAGCCGGCCUGAGAGGGUGUAC